UGAAAUCUGGCGUCCUCAGGGCGUCCGAGUUGUAAUCUAUAGAGGCGUUUUCCGUGCCGGACCGUGUCCAAGUUCCUUGGAACAGGAUAUCAAAGAGGGUGACAAUCCCGUACUUGACACGACGACCGGUGCUCUGUGAUACGUCUUCUACGAGUCGAGUUGUUUGGGAAUGCAGCUCAAAAUGGGUGGUGAGUUCCAUCUAAAGCUAAAUAUUGGCGAGAGACCGAUAGCGAACAAGUACCGUGAGGGAAAGAUGAAAAGCACUUUGGAAAGAGAGUUAAACAGUACGUGAAAUUGUUGAAAGGGAAACGAUUGAAGUCAGUCGUGACCGAGAGGCUCAGCCGGUUCUGCCGGUGUAUUCCCCUCGGUCGGGUCAACAUCAGUUUUGUCCGGUGGAUAAGGGCGGUAGGAAGGUGGCACCCUCGGGUGUGUUAUAGCCUGCCGUCGCAUACAUCGGGUGAGACUGAGGAACGCAGCUCGCCUUUAUGGCCGGGGUUCGCCCACGUCCGAGCUUAGGAUGUUGACAUAAUGGCUUUAAACGACCCGUCUUGAAACACGGACCA
rnacentral:rRNA from 1 species